rnacentral:lncRNA from 1 species
AGCGCACAUACUCCAGCAUUAGACACGAUGAGAAUAAAUCCUCUGUCAGAUUGUCGUUCUUUAAGAUUAGGAAGACAAAUGGAUGUGGAUCAUAUGAGAAUAUAGCUGCUGAUGCAAAAAAUAAAUAUGUUCAAUGUUGUGGAGGAAAAAAACAGGAGCAAAACCCUCCUGGCUCAAUAACACGUGCUUCAACUACAGAGUACUUAACAUUAUGCUUCAUGGCAAAAUUAAUCCAUUUGGUCAGAGAGGAGUCUGCUCUUUCUCCCGG